GAUGAACGCUGGCGGCUUGCCUAAUACAUGCAAGUCGAGCGAACAGACGAGGAGCUUGCUCCUCUGACGUUAGCGGCGGACGGGUGAGUAACACGUGGAUAAGCUACCUAUAAGACUGGGAUAACUUCGGGAAACCGGAGCUAAUACCGGAUAAUAUAUUGAACCGCAUGGUUCAAUAGUGAAAGACGGUUUUGCUGUCACUUAUAGAUGGAUCAGCGCCGCAUUAGCUAGUUGGUAAGGUAACGGCUUACCAAGGCGACGAUGCGUAGCCGACCUGAGAGGGUGAGAGGCCAGACUGGAACUGAGACACGGUCCAGACUACUACGGGAAGUAGCAGCAGGGACUACUGCGCAAUGGGCGAAAGCCUGACGGAGCAAAGACGCAUGAGUGAUGAAGGUAUUCGGAUCGUAAAACUCUGUUAUUCGGGAAGAAUAAAUGUGUAAGUACCUAUGCACGUCUUGACGGUACCCAACAAGAAAGCCACGGCUAACUACGUG
rnacentral:rRNA from 1 species